rnacentral:lncRNA from 1 species
GUAUAAGACUACUCCUUUUCUAUCAAAAUCGAUAGAUUUUAUUUAGGUGCAUCCUACUCCAAAUAGUGAAUUUGAACCUACAAUAGCCAACAUAUAUAGUAAGGACUCAAAUGGCUAGAGACCAAGGGAAUGAGCAGUCAAACUAAGUAGCCUCGUUGUGAAUAGCCAAUGCAUCGUUGGUCAAAGAACUAGUCACACCACUGCAGCAUCGAGAAAUCUACUGAUGAGUGAGUAGACAUCCAUGUAGUUUCUCGUAUUGAUCACGCUCAGUACAAGUUGUUCUCUAACAACCACCUGCACUCUCACCCC